rnacentral:lncRNA from 1 species
UUAUUGUUUCAUUUAUUAUUGUUUAUAUUUUGAUGUAAUUGAUACGUUAUUGCCCUUGUAUGUUCUUGUUCUAAAACUGCAAUAAAAAAAAAAUAAAAAAAAAGAUCAAUGCACACUCUAAGUGCUAAUAUUGCCCACAACCCAUUGCGUACGGGAGGGAGGAGCUUUGCGAUGGCUUGACAUACAGGCGUGCGUACAUCUCGUAAGGAGUUAUAACGUGAAAUAAUGACACAGACUGGAUACACCAUCUCAUCUGCAGUAGAGACUGUUGUAUCAGAAGGACAGCGCGUUUAUUUGAGGCACUUUUCACUUCAACUGUGCCUGACAGGGGAAUUGGCUUUUCUGAGUUUGUUUAUAUCUAAUAAGGAGCUGGAGGCAGUGAAGAAACAGAUCCAUGAUAUUGUGGAGAAUCAGGUCCAGCUGAGCGAGUGGAGAGCUAUGCUGGAAAUAUUCAGGGGUUGA